CUUCACAGUCGGUACGCUGGGCAGCACUGUCAUUGUCUGGGUCACGUUGGCACAACCGUCUUCUACCUGAUUUCCACCAUUAUCUGUACAGAUAAGAUGCACAUCUACAGAUUUCAACCAGAGAGAGAAAUGAGCCGUGCCAGGGAGGGUUUCUUCUGUGCUGACUGUUCACCAAACCUCUGGAGGUUUCCACACCACUGGCCACAUCCCCUGCUGGCACCAAUGGUGUGCGAUCACUCACUUCCUCUGGUUGUCGGUGAGCGUGAUGCCCUGCGCCGACACUUUGAAGUGGACGACGGUGGAGGCCGGCGGAGGAUCCAUGGACAGCGUCAUCGUGGUCGCCUUCUGGACCGCCUGGU